rnacentral:rRNA from 1 species
UACGUAGGGUGCGAGCGUUGUCCGGAAUUAUUGGGCGUAAAGAGCUCGUAGGCGGUCUGUCGCGUCGAUCGUGAAAACUUGGGGGCUUAACCCUGAGCUUGCGGUCGAUACGGGCAUGACUGGAGUUCGGCAGGGGAGACUGGAAUUCCUGGUGUAGCGGUGAAAUGCGCAGAUAUCAGGAGGAACACCGGUGGCGAAGGCGGGUCUCUGGGCCGUAACUGGACGCUGAGGAGCGAAAGCGUGGGGAGCGAACAGG